rnacentral:rRNA from 1 species
UACGGAGGGUGCGAGCGUUAAUCGGAAUUACUGGGCGUAAAGCGCACGCAGGCGGUUUGUUAGCAAGAUGAUGAAGACCCCGGGCUCAACCUGGGAACUGCAUUUUGAACUGGCAGACUAGAGUCUUGGAGAGGGGGGUGGAAUUCCAGGUGUAGCGGUGAAAUGCGUAGAGAUCUGGAGGAACAUCAGUGGCGAAGGCGGCCCCUGGCCAAAGCACUGACGCUCAUGUGCGAAAGUGUGGGUAGCGAACAGGAUUAGAUACCCCUGUAGUCC